AAUAUCUUAUCAGCAAUUAUGGCAUGUGUUGCAGUUUGACAGUGAAGGUCAUGACACCUCUGUUCUCGUGUUGUAGGUACUGAUGGUUGUGGGAGCUGGACGUGGACCUCUUGUUAGAGCAUCGUUGCAGGCAGCUGAAGAAACUGGACGGAAGUUGAGAGUUUAUGCAGUGGAGAAAAAUCCAAAUGCAAUUGUCACACUUCAUGGUAUGAAUGACAGAGUUGUCCCACCCUCAAUGACAGAUA